GCCCAGCUGGCUCAGUCGGUAGAGUGGGCUGCUCUUUAUGUUGAGGUUGUGAGUUCAAGCCCCAUGCUGGGUA
rnacentral:tRNA from 1 species